rnacentral:rRNA from 1 species
GACGAACGCUGGCGGCGUGCUUAACACAUGCAAGUCGAACGGAGCGAAUGAAAGCUUGCUUUUAUAAGCUUAGUGGCAAACGGGUGAGUAACACGUAGGCAACCUGCCGACAGGAUGGGGACAACAUUCCGAAAGGAAUGCUAAUACCGAAUGAAGUCAGAGGAGGGCAUCCUCUUCUGAUGAAAGAUGGCCUCUAUAUAUAAGCUAUCACCUGUCGAUGGGCCUGCGUCUGAUUAGCUGGUAGGUGAGGUAACGGCUCACCUAGGCGACGAUCAGUAGCCGGUCUGAGAGGAUGAACGGCCACAUUGGGACUGAGACACGGCCCAGACUCCUACGGGAGGCAGCAGUGGGGAAUCUUCCGCAAUGGGCGCAAGCCUGACGGAGCAACGCCGCGUGAGUGAAGAAGGUCUUCGGAUCGUAAAGCUCUGUUGAUGGGGACGAACGUGCCUAAUGCGAAUAGUUUUAGGUAANGAC